AACGAACGCUGGCGGCAGGCUUAACACAUGCAAGUCGAACGGCAGCACAGGAGAGCUUGCUCUCUGGGUGGCGAGUGGCGGACGGGUGAGGAAUACAUCGGAAUCUACUUUUUCGUGGGGGAUAACGCAGGGAAACUUACGCUAAUACCGCAUACGACCUCCGGGUGAAAGCAGGGGACCUUCGGGCCUUGCGCGAUUGAAUGAGCCGAUGUCGGAUUAGCUAGUUGGCGGGGUAAAGGGCCACCAAGGCGGCGAUCCGUAGCUGGUCUGAGAGGAUGAUCAGCCACACUGGAACUGAGACACGGUCCAGACUCCUACGGGAGGCAGCAGUGGGGGAUAUUGGACAAUGGGCGCAAGCCUGAUCCAGCCAUACCGGGUGGGUGAAGAAGGCCUUCGGGUUGUAAAGCCCUUUUGUUGGGAAAGAAAUCCAGCUGGCUAAUACCCGGUUGGGAUGACGGUACCCAAAGAAUAAGCACCGGCUAACUUCGUGCCAGCAGCCGCCGUAA
rnacentral:rRNA from 1 species